rnacentral:rRNA from 2 species
AACGUAGGAGACAAGCGUUAUCCGGAAUUACUGGGCGUAAAGAGCGUGUAGGCGGACGGUCAAGUGGGGCGUGAAAUCUUCUGGCUAAACUGGAAGGGGUCGUUCCAGACUGAUUGUCUAGAGUUCGGCAGAGGGGCGUGGAAUUCCGGGUGUAGUGGUGAAAUGCGUAGAGAUCCGGAGGAACACCAGUGGCGAAGGCGGCGCCCUGGGCUGAAACUGACGCUGAGACGCGAAAGCAUGGGGAGCGAACGGG